AAGGGUCACAGCAACACUCAUCAAGGAGACAGCAACAACAUAGAGCUGCAAGGCAUCCCUCCAAGAACCCCGGCUGUCUUUUGGGUGGCGGGGCAGCGUAUUGCGGUGGUGCCAUCACCGGCGGCCCUUGAUAAUACCCUCCUUGAGGAGGUGGAUAGGGAUAGGCAUAUUUGGGAUCACUCAUAUCUUCAAUCCAACACAAAAGCUUAAUUGGGAAGACAAGAAGAGGAAGAACAGGGUAUUUAAUGAGAAAUUAGCUGAAGAAACUAUGGUUAUUUUUCAGGUUUG
rnacentral:misc_RNA from 1 species